rnacentral:sRNA from 1 species
CGCACGCGGGUUUGCGGUCGACGGGGAGACAUCCCGCCGCUCGCUCCGGUGCCCUCCGAAGCCUUUGGCCGAGGGGGCGACGCCCGCGGAGGCCCAACCGGAAAAGGAGAAAC